ACCUGCUGGGUCCUGCACAUGCGCAGUCCGCUGGCGCUCGGACGCCGCGGAGCGGAAACCCCAGCCUUGGCGGGAAGAUCCUGGAGGAUUCCGCGGGCGGAAAUGAAGGUGAAGCGCAGGCCAGGCCAAGUGGCGCUCUGCGGGAGGCGACAUCAGGGCUCCCCAACCGGUAGUGGGAGGGAAGAUUGCCCUCAAGUCCACAGGACUGACUGACCAAGAUCAUUCUAGCCUCAAUUGUCCCAGGAGCCCUUUCGAUGAUUCUGUUUUACUUUAUUGAAAGACUGUUACAACUUUGGUGUUGCAUUUCCUCCAGAAUAAAAUGACUUUUACAGCCUGGA
ensembl:lncRNA novel transcript